rnacentral:rRNA from 1 species
GGGUUCUGAUUGCUUAUUGCACCACAUGUGUUUUUCUUUGAAACAAACUUGCUUUGGCGGUGGGCCCAGCCUGCCGCCAGAGGUCUAAACUUACAACCAAUUUUUUAUCAACUUGUCACACCAGAUUAUUACUAAUAGUCAAAACUUUCAACAACGGAUCUCUUGGUUCUCGCAUCGAUGAAGAACGCAGCGAAAUGCGAUACGUAAUAUGAAUUGCAGAUAUUCGUGAAUCAUCGAAUUUUUGAACGCACAUUGCGCCCUCUGGUAUUCCGGAGGGCAUGCCUGUUUGAGCGUCGUUUCUCCCUCAAACCGCUGGGUUUGGUGUUGAGCAAUACGACUUGGGUUUGCUUGAAAGACGGUAGUGGUAAGGCGGGAUCGCUUUGACAAUGGCUUAGGUCUAACCAAAAACAUUGCUUGCGGCGGUAACGUCUACCACGUAUAUCUUCAAACUUUGACCUCAAAUCAGGUAGGACUACCCGCUGAACUUAAGCAUAUCAAUAAGCGGAGGAA